rnacentral:rRNA from 1 species
UACGGAGGAUGCGAGCGUUAUCCGGAUUUAUUAGGUAUAAAGGGUGCGUAGGCGGACUUGUUAGUCAGCGGUGAAAUACUACGGCUUAACCGUAGAACUGCCAUUGAUACUGCAGGUCUUGAGUACACUUGAGGUAGGCGGAAUGUGUGGUGUAGCGGUGAAAUGCUUAGAUAUCACACAGAACACCGAUUGCGAAGGCAGCUUACUAAGCUGUAACUGACGCUGAUGCACGAAAGCAUGGGGAGCAAAC